rnacentral:rRNA from 1 species
AUGAGAGCAAAGAUGGCGAAGGUAAUGGCCACCAACAUCUUUGUUUGUAUGAAUCCUCAUGGCCAAGUCUGCCUAUUCAAGCAUGAACUGCUUUACACUCUUCAGCUUAACCUGGCAGUGCACCAGCUAUCAAAGGCACUCCUAUCAGCUUGGCACAGCAUACUUACUGGAACCUUGCAGGCCACAACUCUAGCAGCACCUUGGGUCUGGGGAAAACACAUCACUCCAGCCAAUGAGCACAUGAUUCCCACCGGAGAACUAAUCCCCAUCAAGGACACGCCUUUCGAUUUCACCACAUGCCUUUAG